GAAAUGCGAUACGUAGUGUGAAUUGCAGAAUUCCGUGAACCAUCGAAUCUUUGAACGCAUAUUGCACUCGAGCCUUCGGGCAAGAGUAUGUCUGCUUCAGCGUCGGGUUAAUAUCACUCCCCACAUCCCUGUGGUGUGUUCAAUGAGUGGACCUGACUGUUCCAGGCCUGCAUUCGGAAUGUUUACAUUUCGAAAGCUUCCAGCCUGGAUCAGUUGAAGAACAGAGGCUAAUCUAAGGACCCGUUAAGGGCCGCAACUGGGUAGGCAGCUUAAUUGCUUGCUUUAUUCUUAGUUGCUGGCUUGGGACCCUAGGUUCAUGGCCCUCAACCAGGAAUCUUAACCCCUUAUUUUCUCGACCUGAGCUCAGGCAAGACCACCCGCUGAACUUAA
rnacentral:misc_RNA from 1 species